UCCCUCAGUAGCGGCGAGCGAACGGGGAUCAGCCCAUUAAGUUAUGUGUGUUUUAGUGGAACGCUCUGGGAAGUGCGAACGUAGAGGGUGAUAUUCCCGUACACGAAAGGGCACACAUAAUGAUGACGAGUAGGGCGAGGCACGUGAAACCUUGUCUGAAUAUGGGGGGACCAUCCUCCAAGGCUAAAUACUCCUGACUGACCGAUAGUGAACCAGUACCGUGAGGGAAAGGCGAAAAGAACCCCUGUGAGGGGAGUGAAAUAGAUCCUGAAACCGCAUGCAUACAAGCAGUGGGAGCACCUUCGUGGUGUGACUGCGUACCUUUUGUAUAAUGGGUCAGCGACUUAUAUUCAGUAGCGAGGUUAACCGUAUAGGGGAGCCGUAGAGAAAUCGAGUCUUAAUAGGGCGUUUAGUUGCUGGGUAUAGACCCGAAACCAGGCGAUCUAUCCAUGAGCAGGUUGAAGGUUGGGUAACACUAACUGGAGGACCGAACCCACUGUCGUUGAAAAGCCAGGGGAUGACUUGUGGAUAGGGGUGAAAGGCUAAUCAAGCCUGGUGAUAGCUGGUUCUCCCCGAAAGCUAUUUAGGUAGCGCCUCGGACGAAUACCAUAGGGGGUAGAGCACUGUUUCGGCUAGGGGGUCAUCCCGACUUACCAAACCGAUGCAAACUCCGAAUACCUAUGAGUACUAUCCGGGAGACAGACUGCGGGUGCUAACGUCCGUAGUCAAGAGGAAAACAAUCCAGACCGCCAGCUAAGGCCCCAAAAUCAUAGUUAAGUGGGAAACGAUGUGGGAAGGCAUAGACAGCUAGGAGGUUGGCUUAGAAGCAGCCACCCUUUAAAGAAAGCGUAAUAGCUCACUAGUCGAGUCGGCCUGCGCGGAAGAUGUAACGGGGCUAAAACUAUGUGCCGAAGCUGCGGAUGUAUACUUUGUAUACGUGGUAGGGGAGCGUUCUGUAAGCCGAUGAAGGUGUGUUGAGAAGCAUGCUGGAGGUAUCAGAAGUGCGAAUGCUGACGUGAGUAACGACAAAACGGGUGARAAACCCGUUCGCCGAAAGACCAAGGGUUCCAGUCCAACGUUAAUCGGGGCUGGGUGAGUCGACCCCUAAGGCGAGGCCGAAAGGCGUAGUCGAUGGGAAAAUGGUUAAUAUUCCAUUACUUCUGUGUAAUGCGAUGAGAGGACGGAGAAGGCUAAAUCAGCCUGGCGUUGGUUGUCCAGGUGAAAGGAUGUAGGCAUGUAUCUUAGGCAAAUCCGG
rnacentral:rRNA from 1 species